GCAGAUGUUGACUGGGUUUACUUGCAUUCAGAAUGGCAGCAAUUGGAUAUGUGAUCUUGGACCUGAGUAUGAAGCCAAUAUCGGUGAUAGAGGUAACAAACACACGGAAUUGUGAGUCUCAAGAAAGGUCAGAAAUGAGAGGAUCAGCAUGAGGAACAAGGACAAACCAUCCAAAUCAAGGGAAGAAAGCCCAGGUAUCUAUUAGGCAGUAUAGCCACUGGCUAUGACAGAAAAUGUCACCAACCAGAAGCUGACAAUCAAGAGAGCCCUUUCUCAGGGCUAAGAAGAAGGAGUGAAAAAUAAAUCUAGAGGGGCCAAUGAAAGAUAUCUGACACACAUAAAAUCAGUCACACAUGGGUGAACUGUAAGAGACUGAAAGUAAAUAAAUGAAUGAAGUUACCCUUGUCAAGCCCUCCAGUUAUGGAACUCCUCCAUUUCCC
rnacentral:lncRNA from 10 species